rnacentral:lncRNA from 1 species
UUUACAGGACCUCCUUCGGAUCCAGUGGAGAUGUCUGGACUUACUUCUCCAACAUAGUCUUCUCCUCCACCUCUCUUCUCUUUAUUUUAUAACGUUCCCCCUUUAUGCCGUUUGAAUCCUGAAUACCAUUACUGAUUUUAUCCUUUCAUCAAAUUCAUACACAACAUUUGAAAUGCACGAAUGCAUACACUUCCCACGGCCCAUGCUCAGGACCUGAAGCCAGGAAUCCUGAGUCUUAGAAGGUAACCUUUGUACGGGGCGCAAAAAAACCUGGUCAAUCCUAUCAACGUGGACCUGUCCCCAUCUGUCUCACUUAGAAUUAUUGCAUUAAAAUAGCUGCUUAAUUAAUCCCAGUAGACUUGUCCAGGAAAGAGAAGGAGAAAAGAAGCCCAGCAAGCAUAAAAAUAUAAAUAGAAACCAAGUGUCAUGGCGACACAGACCUUAUUUCAAAACAGAGGGAAAUACUUGGUGUACAGGGAUCCUAGCUCUCUUCCGACAAGACUUCAACAAUGAAUUUACAGGCCCUCUGUCCAACCAGAGCCACUCCCUUCUGUCCAUGCCCAUGGUACCGGGGAUGGAACUCGGGUCCCUGUGCUUGCGCAACAGGCAGCAAAACCACUGAGCUAAAUCCCCAGCCCCAUGAAAUAAUUACAUUCAUCGCCUUGGGGAGCUGGUACAUGCACAUAGCACAUCUGAAUUCUUUUUACAGGCCCCUUCUUCCACUCUUGAUCCUUUUCCUUGCUCAAAUGGGUUUAUUGUCAACUGAGAAAUGAAAAUUCUGUACUUAAUUUUGCAUUAAACAUGCAUGUUUAUUUUGCUUCAUUUCUUGAGUUCUUUGUGGCUCUACAGGUUUACUGCAAAAUUUUGGACAAGUGUUACCAAAAAAUAAAGAAAUACUUGUGGGUUUGUUCC